rnacentral:rRNA from 1 species
AUUGAACGCUGGCGGCCGGCCUAACACAUGCAAGUCGAGAGAGCGGCGGACGGGUGAGUAAUGUCUGGGAAACUGCCUGAUGGAGGGGGAUAACUACUGGAAACGGUAGCUAAUACCGCAUACCAUCAGCUGUGCCCAGAUGGGAUUAGCUAGUAGGUGGGGUAACAGCUCACAUAGGCGACGAUCCCUAGCUGGUCUGAGAGGAUGACCAGCAGCACUGUAACUGAGACACGGUCCAGACUCCUACGGGAGGGAGCAGUGGGGAAUAUUGCACAAUGGGCGCAAGCCUGAUGCAGCCAUGCCGAGUGUGUGAAGAAGGCCUUCGGGUUGUAAAGCACUUUCAGCGGGUAGACGUUACCCGCAGGAGAAGCACCGGCUAACUCCGUGCCAGCAGCCGCGGUAAUUC